rnacentral:tRNA from 1 species
CGGGCUGUAGCGCAGUUUGGUAGCGCGUCUGGUUGGGGACCAGAAGGUCCAGGGUUCAAAUCCCUGCAGCCCGACCA